UGGGGAAUAUUGCACAAUGGGGGAAACCCUGAUGCAGCGACGCCGCGUGAGCGAAGAAGGCUUUCGAGUCGUAAAGUUCUUUUAUAUGGGAAGAUAAUGACGGUAUCAUAGGAGGAAGCCCCGGCUAAAUACGUGCCAGCAGCCGCGGUAAUACGUAUGGGGCGAGCGUUGUCCGGAAUUAUUGGGCGUAAAGGGUACGUAGGCGGUCUAUUAAGUCAGGUGUGAAAGCGUGAGGCUUAACCUCAUUAAGCACUUGAAACUGAUAGACUUGAGUGAAGGAGAGGAAAGUGGAAUUCCUAGUGUAGCGGUGAAAUGCGUAGAUAUUAGGAGGAAUACCGGUGGCGAAGGCGACUUUCUGGACUUUUACUGACGCUCAGGUACGAAAGCGUGGGGAGCAAACAGG
rnacentral:rRNA from 1 species